rnacentral:rRNA from 1 species
AUUGAACGCUGGCGGCAGGCCUAACACAUGCAAGUCGAACGAGUGGCGGACGGGUGAAUAAUGUCUGGGACACUGCCCGAUGGAGGGGGUUAACUACUGGAAACGGUAGCUAAUACCGCAUACCAUCGGAUGUGCCCAGAUUGUAUUCGCUAGUAGGUGGGGUAACGGCUCACCUAGGCGACGAUCCCUAGCUGGUCUGAGCGGCUGACCAGCCACACUGGAACUGAGACACGGUCCAGACUCCUACGGGAUGCAGCAGUGGGGAAUAUGGCACAAUGGGCGCAAGCCUGAUGCAGCCAUGCCGCGUGUAUGAAGAAGGCUUUCGGGUUGUAAAGUACGUUCAGCGAGGAGGCGUUACUCGCAGAAGAAGCACCGGCUAACGCCGUGCCAGCAGCCGCGGUAAUUC